rnacentral:rRNA from 1 species
AGGAUGAACGCUGGCGGCGUGCCUAACACAUGCAAGUCGAACGUCCUGUCUCGCAAGAGGCAGGGAGUGGCGGACGGGUGAGUACCACGUGGGUCAUCUACCGUGAGGUGAGGAAUACCGGCGAGAAAUCGCCGACAAGACCGCAUAGGCUCGAUGCAAGUCGAGCAAAGCUCUUUCGAGAGAGGGAGCGCCACACGAGGAGCCUGCGCCCGAUUAGCUAGCUGGUGGAGUAACGGUUCACCAGGGCGACGAUCGGUAGCUGGUCUGAGAGGACGAUCAGCCACACUGGGAUUGAGAACGGCCCAGACUCCUACGGGGGCAGCAGUGAGGAAUUUCGUCAAUGGGGGCAACCCUGAACGAGCAACGCCGCGUGCAGGAAGAGGUUUUCGGAUCGUAAACUGCUUUUCUCGGGGAAGAGAACGGACGGUACCGAGGAAUCAGCCCGGCUAACUACGUGCCAGCAGCCGCGGU